GACGAACGCUGGCGGCGUGCUUACACCUCAGAAAAAAGGGAUGUGGCGAACGGGUGAGUAACGCGUAAUCAACCUGCCCGUCAGAGGGGGACAACAGUUGGAAACGACUGCUAAUACCUAAUACUGUGAGAGAGCUUUGCGUCCCAUUAGGUAGUUGGAGAGGUAACGGCUCACCAAGGCGCUGAUGGGUAGCCGGCCUGAGAGGGUGUUCAGCCACAAGGGGACUGGGACACGGCCCUUACUGCUACGGGAGGCAGGAGUGGGGAAUAGUGUACAAUGGACCAAAGUCUGUUCCGGCAAUUCUGUGUGAACGAUGAAGUUUUCGGAGUGUAAAGUGCUUUCAGUUGGGAAGCGGUACCAACAGAAGAAGUGACGGCUAAAUACGUGCCAGCCGCCGCGGUAAUAC
rnacentral:rRNA from 1 species